AAUAUUUUGUCUUAUCGAUGUUGACGGUUUUUCUAUCGGCCAAAUAACAUGUCUACAAUCGACGUUACAUGCUGUUCAGUGUUCAGUGUUAAAUUGGUUCAUAUAUUUUACGUGUUGAACAGUGGUUUAUUUAUUAGUUAUAUUUGUUAUAUAUAUAUAUAUAUCUACAUUAUUAAUUACCAAUCGACCAUGUGAUUCACAGU